CGCCUGAGCUGUGGGGAUAUUCAGUGCAGGGGUAAAAUGAUAAUUUUAAAAUUUUUUCAAAAUUAUGAUUUUACAAUGGAAAAAUAUUAAUUAAUCUAAUUAAUUAACAUAAAUUUACCCUAUACAAGGAUCUAAAUAUGAUAUAUAGCAUACAUUCAUUUAAAUUUGAAAUUCAAAUUCGAACAGUAAACACUUUACUGUAAUGUGUUCAGAAAAUAAUACCUUUGUGUGGGCAGUAGAUCACCGUAAUC
rnacentral:lncRNA from 1 species